ensembl:lncRNA
GACCCCCCUGGCAUACAGCUGUAUGUGUCAGUGAAGGUGGUGGUGCUGAAUGGUGUCCGCCUGAACAUGUACAGGUUGUCGGCGAGGCAGUAACUCCUUGGAGGGCUUGCACUCACACCUGUACAAUGCCAUUCCCUCAGAGAUGUGGAGUUAUGCCAUUCCAAGUAAGUAUAAACAGCUUUAAUAUAUAUAAAAAAAAUUGAUUACACAUUAUUGUUCAUAGGCAUAUUAUAUCUCUAUUAUGUCCACUUUGUAAUCAAAAUUAGUUUCUGAUGUACAAUAAUGCAUGAAUGGUCAUGUCUUUCAGGUGUAUCUGAUUGCAUUUGCUGUGCAGUGGAACAGCCGCAUGGAAUCACUCCGGGUUGCUGGUGGUCAUGGCAGGCAGACGUGGUGUAUGGACCCGCGGCAGAUUCAGCGCCUGAAUCAGCAGGCUGAGGUGCUCUUCAGUAAAGAGCAUGUCCUCGAGCCCAACUUUGCCACUCCAAUGCCCUACCCUGCUGUAUACAAGGACCCAGAUGAGGAGGAGCUCCUUGGAGUAGAGUAUGCCAUGUGCCAGUCAACCAGCUUCACUGCAAAGGAUUACUUUGCCCAGCAAGUUGAGGAAGAGCAGUCCUGUGAAGAAGAGGAGACGGCUGAACAAAGUGAGGACAAGCUGGCAGAUGAGGGUGUGGACAUGGGUGCAGAGUCAGAGGAGGAUCCUAUGGACACUGUCAGUGACAAACAUGUAAUCCUCACUCAGUCAGAACAGGUGGAGGAGGAGGACAGUCCUGCUCUGCAGGAUGUGCUGAUGACCCAGAGCCAUCUGCAUCUUCCUGGGCUGGAGGAAGUGGAAGCCUUUGGCCCUGCUCAUUUUAGAACUGGCAGACAACAGUGGCCGUCACCUAGUGCCAGCUGACCUAAGGCUGAAGAUUGGCACUGCUGCUGGUGCUCUGCAAGAGCAUGACAGGUCUGCAGCCAACUUUGUAAAAAAGUAUGAGUCAAGGUGGGGUUACACCCUGUUUGGCAGAUGCUUGGGAGCUGACACACCUGAGACCAGAGCAGCACAGAAGACAAAGUUUUCAGCCCAGGUGACUGAGGAUAGUCGUCUGUUGUACUUCAUUAUUAAAAUGCUGAAAAACCAGCCAUCAGCCAGUCGUCUCACCUUCCCCACUAAAAUCAGGCCAUCCUUAAAAAUAUUUUGGUUUGUAGUAACAGUAAUAAUAAUAAAAAAAGGGCCAUUAGGUCGGUUUAUAUAUAUUUUUUCAAGUUUCAAUGUAAAAAAAAAGUAAAUUUUUGUAAUGGUGAUCACGUUGGUAUGAAUUUAAACAAAUUAGUAUUUCAUGACAUCACUGGGUCUUCAACCCCCACCUUCGGGUGCAUCUUUGCAAACCUCAUUUUCAUGCAGGCUAUAUAGACCACAAACAAAUUUAAAUCUUUGUUAAAAACAUGUUUAUUGCAUGAAUUUCAGAUGAGAAGAAAAUUUUUAGAAAAACAAUAAGCAGAGUAGACUGCCACAAUGCAAAACAUUUACUGCAGGCUUCAACAUGGCUGUGUUUACGAUUAGAAAUGUCAACAACAACAACAACAACGAAUUCGUCGAAUUUAAAAUAAAAAUCCACAUUCGAAUGCGCAUUCGAAUUUUAGGUGUGCAUUAAGGAAACUGCCUUAUGAGCCCCGGUACGUGUUCCAUUCCAUUUCGCCACGCGAACAGCUGUGUCUACACAACUUUCAAAGGUGGAAGAGCUCGACACACAGUAUCUGCUGUCUCAUCUGUCACCUCGUGUACGCGCACCGUCCGAGGUAUUUCAGUGGCGCACGAGAUGCGAUGACGAUAUGUGGCAUUGCAUUAUAAGGUUAUGUUAGCCUAUCCAGUUGAAGCCACUUAAAAAAAAAAAAAAGAGAGAGAGAGAGAGAGAGAGAGUGAUGCCUGUUAAAAAAAAAUUAAAAAAAAUAAAUUUCCUAUUUUUGUUUUCGAAACUUGUGUUGGUUGAUUCGUGCUUGAUUCGUGCAAUAGAUUUUCGUACAUAAAGUGACAGUUGACACGGUCACGUUUUAGACUAGACGGGAGAAGGGAUGGGAGAAGAUCUGGGCACAGUUUUUCCAGAACUUCAUGCCAAGUUAAAGUGGUGUCAAGCUGUUUUAGUGCAUUUUUUAUAUGUAUUAUGGUGCCCGAACCCUUAUGACUUUGAACAUUGAAACAUUUUGAACCGCAAACAUUUGGUUUACUGCAGCCACAGCCAUCAUUACCAAGCGCGAAUCGUUGACUCUGACAGUUAAUGAGACGAAGCGGACGCACCGGCCAUAGACCAACGCUACUUUUGCAUCAUCGAAGGUUAACGCCCCUUUUUGGGGGAAAACAAACGGAUUCCCCUGAUACAGAACUCACUCUAAUUUCUUGAUAGCAAAAAUGGCAGAAACAUACACACUCUUUUUGCCGGCCGAGGACCGUGAGAGGUAUUUAAUGAAGCUACUGGACACAGUGUUUAUAGAGGUUUCCCUUUGAAAUGGUCGAAAACUGGAUUAAUAACCCCACGCAGUGGCCAAAUAUGGAAAUAUCUAACGUUACCAUUAUCUCGUGGAAUCACCAAGUAGCCUACUUUUGUCAUUAACAUGCUCACAGUAUGAUAAACUAGACGAUGAGGCCAUGCCAAGAGGAGUCGGUGGUUUACUUGGAUCAUAUUUCACUUGAUUUAAGCUAUUGACAGUUUUGUUGUAGUUAGAAAUACGAAGCUGCUAGUAGCUACGUGAUUAACGUUAGUUCUCAUUAGGCAUGCUACCUUGGCUGUUAACUGAUUUUAAGUUUCAAAUAUUUGCAGGCUAGGACUAAACAAUAUAAAUAUUAUACAAUAUCUGUUUGUAAUUGUGUCUGACAGGCCUGUACACAUCAGAAACAAUGAAAAACAAAAGGUCCCUGGAGCGAGUUCUGUAUCAGGAAUCCGUUUGUUAACCUUCGAUUACACCAAAGUAGCGUUGGUCUAUAGUGUGACAUCUGUGUAAACAUAGAUGACGUCACAGGUUUUUUUAAUUAAAGAAGAUAGCCUUCGUUUGUAUGAAGGCCUAGGCAAUUUAUAUAUUUACAAUACUUAAAUAUAAUUAAUAGUAUUUUAUUGCUUUUGUAUUAGUUGUUUGAAGAGUUAAAAAAAAUUGGUCGGUCUUAAUGCGGUCUAAAAUUUACAAUCGGCAAGUCGGUCGGACUAAAAGCAAAAAAAAAAAAUUGACAGGGUCGGUCGGGUUAUGGCAAACAAGAAUAUUUUUAAGGAUGGCCUCACCAAUGCAAUCAAGAGCCAGUAUAAAAAGGAUUGUAGACCGAGUCAGAGACAAUCCCAUCCUCAACGGUUUCUCCAUUCCUCUGCCCAAUCUGAAUGCCAAGUCCAUCUCUACAUUCAUGGCACAGGAAGAGAAGAAGGCUAACUACAGGGCAACAGUAAUGCCAAAGGUGAAACCUCACCAAAGAGUGCUGUCAGAAGAACCAAUGUCAGCAGCUCCUACUCUGCCAGAAUCCCUUCCAGCUCCAGAUCGACCUCAGGUUCAGUACCAGAGCUUACGUUAUGUAGCUGGGAAAAGGCAUGAACAGAAGGGGAAGUUUUUCAGUUCUUCAUUUCACAAGUAUGUGACUUUUCUACUUUAUUACAAUAUGUGAACAUAUCUGAAUUUAUCAGCCUAAUGGUUUAAACUUAAACACAACAAACAAUGUGACGUGAUAGUCAUACACAUUAUUUCUCAUGAAUUAUACUCAUCAUUGCAUGUAUGAUUUAUUUUUGCAGGUUAGAUGUGGAAAUGCUUGUGAACCAGCCCAUUCAACCAAAAACCCAUGUGGCCACGUACAUCCCACCCAGAGCAUCAGCAGCACCUGUCCUGGUAGUGGUUCCUGCACAGCCACCGGGACCAUCCAUGAUGCUCUGUGGGGCAUCCAGCAGUCAAGGGUUCAUACCUUUCGCACCGCCUCCUGAGCUGACAUCCAGAUUAAUCAAGCCUCAUAAAUCCAUGAAGCCUUGUGGGCCCUGCCAAGUACCCCAAUGUGGUGGGCAGCAUAAGAGGUACACCCCCUCCAAAGACAAGGCUGCUGAAAGUAGCCAAAAACUAUUUACCUAUUGCCCAGCAACUAAGAAGUCCACCACUUCAGGUUUUGAAGGUGUUGUGUUCAACAGUUUUGAACACUUCAAAAGUGUAGUAGAUGAGGAACUAAAAAAGAAAAAAAUUACAACUACAUACAUCUGCAACUACAUCCCCCAAAUCACAAUAGCAGAUUUCUGGGGUAUGGUUUGGACUUGGUUCAGACCUGGAUUAGACCUAGUUUAGAUCUUACCCUAAUUUGGUCCUGGUUUAGACAUGGUGUGUUCACAGCGUCUUGUUUGUGUUCCCUGUGUAACCACUAGAUGUCCUCCUUCCCCACGGUGUCUGUCACUUCCUGAACCACAUUCCCCACGAUCUCUGUCUCCUCAUUGCACUCAGCUGUCACGGGUCAUUAAUCAUUGCACUCAGCCAAUUCCCCAUUAGCACUGUCAUUUCCUUGUGUAUUUAUACCCUGUCUGUUUUAGUAUGUGUCACUGAGUCCUUGUAGUUUUCACGACUAUUCUAGUCUUGUUCUCGCCCGUGUGUUUAGUGUCUGUUUAUGUUGUUUGGCUACUUUGGUUUUGACCCCUGCAUGGACAAUGAUUUGGAUUACCCCAAUAAAAGACAUACCUGUACUUGGAUCUCUCUCUGUGUUUUCCUGUGUCCUGACACAAGAUCCAGCGGUAUGUCUGUUGAUGUUUCUUCCCCAGCCACCGAGCGGGAGAGAAGGAGUCAGUUUGAGGGAACCCGUCUGGUCGAGAGGAGGUUCAGCAUCGUUCUCCACCAUGGCCCCCCUUCGACCCGGGGCUCGUGUGGGACGGUUGGAGCUGCCGUCUCACCAUUGCGGACGGAGAAGGGAGAGGAAGCGCAUGUCUGCCGAGCCAGCGCCACUGUCCUUGAUGGUCGCAAGCUCAGCGCCACAGCACAAGAUGGCCGCCAGCCCAGAGCCACUGUGCAGAAUGGCCGUCGGCCCAGCGCCGCUGCCCAGGAUGGCCACCAGCCCAGCGCCAUGAGGCAAGAUGGACGCCAGCCCAGCGCCAUAGAACAAAGUGGUCGCCAGCCCAGCGACAUGAUGCAAGGUGGCCGCCAACCCAGCGCCACUGCCCAAGAUGGCCGCUGAAACAUUUUUUGAUUAUUUCUCUAUGCUGUCCAAGAUCCUAGAGAUUCCAAAGACUGUUUACAUCACGUCUGCUGAGCCAGCGCCACAGUACAAGAUGGCCGCCAACCCAGCGCCACUGCACAAGGUGGUCGCCCACCCAGAGCCACUGCACAAGGUGGCUGCUGGCCUGGAGCCACUGCAUAGGAUGGCAGCUAGAGUGGGCUCUCCAGAGUCAAGUCAGGUCCCCGUUG